rnacentral:rRNA from 1 species
UACGUAGGUGGCAAGCGUUGUCCGGAUUUAUUGGGGUUAAAGGGUGCGUAGGCGGUCUUCUAAGUCAGUUGUGAAAUACCUCAGCUUAACUGGAGAGGUGCAAUUGAUACUGGAAGACUUGAGUACUGAUGAGGUAGGCGGAAUGGACGGUGUAGCGGUGAAAUGCUUAGAUAUCGUCCAGAACACCGAUAGCGAAGGCAGCUUACUAAGGAGUAACUGACGCUGAGGCACGAAAGUGUGGGGAUCAAACAGG